rnacentral:rRNA from 1 species
GAUAGGUGGGAGGCAGUGAAAAUAGUCUUGCGGGAUCAUUAGAGCCAACGGUGAGAUACCACUCUAGUAAAGAUAAAAUUCUAACUCUAUACCGUUAUCCGGAUAGAGAACAGUUUCAAGUGGGCAGUUUGACUGGGGCGGUCGCCUCCUAAAAGGUAACGGAGGCGUGCAAAGGUUCCCUCAGGCUGGUUGGACAUCAGUCGAAGAGUGUAAAGGCAUAAGGGAGCUUGACUGCGAGACCCACAAGUCGAGCAGAGACGAAAGUCGGCCUUAGUGAUCCGACGGUUCCGAGUGGAAGGGCUGUCGCUCAACGGAUAAAAGUUACUCUAGGGAUAACA